rnacentral:rRNA from 1 species
AGUGAACGCUGGCGGUAGGCCUAACACAUGCAAGUCGAACGGCAGCACAGUAAGAGCUUGCUCUUACGGGUGGCGAGUGGCGGACGGGUGAGGAAUACAUCGGAAUCUACUUUUUCGUGGGGGAUAACGUAGGGAAACUUACGCUAAUGCCGCAUACGACCUACGGGUGAAAGCAGGGGAUCUUCGGACCUUGCGCGAUUGAAUGAGCCGAUGUCGGAUUAGCUAGUUGGCGGGGUAAAGGCCCACCAAGGCGACGAUCCGUAGCUGGUCUGAGAGGAUGAUCAGCCACACUGGAACUGAGACACGGUCCAGACUCCUACGGGAGGCAGCAGUGGGGAAUAUUGGACAGUGGGCGCAAGCCUGAUCCAGCCAUACCGCGUGGGUGAAGAAGGCCUUCGGGUUGUAAAGCCCUUUUGUUGGGAAAGAAAAGCAGCAGGUUAAUACCCCGCUGUUCUGACGGUACCCAAAGAAUAAGCACCGGCUAACUUCGU